rnacentral:rRNA from 1 species
AGUGAACGCUGGCGGUGGGCCUAACACAUGCAAGUCGAACGGCAGCACAGUAAGAGCUUGCUCUUACGGGUGGCGAGUGGCGGACGGGUGAGGAAUACAUCGGAAUCUACUUUUUCGUGGGGGAUAACGUAGGGAAACUUACGCUAAUACCGCAUACGACCUACGGGUGAAAGCAGGGGAUCUUCGGACCUUGCGCGAUUGAAUGAGCCGAUGUCGGAUUAGCUAGUUGGCGGGGUAAAGGCCCACCAAGGCGACGAUCCGUAGCUGGUCUGAGAGGAUGAUCAGCCACACUGGAACUGAGACACGGUCCAGACUCCUACGGGAGGCAGCAGUGGGGAAUAUUGGACAAUGGGCGCAAGCCUGAUCCAGCCAUACCGCGUGGGUGAAGAAGGCCUCCGGGUUGUAAAGCCCUUUUGUUGGGAAAGAAAAGCAGCAGGUUAAUACCCCGCUGUCCUGACGGUACCCAAAGAAUAAGCACCGGCUAACUUCGUG